rnacentral:tRNA from 1 species
CACUAUGAAGCUAAUUUAGCAUUAACCUUUUAAGUUAAAGAUAGGGUGCACCCACACCUCAUAGUGA